rnacentral:rRNA from 1 species
GUAGGGCGGGACACGUGGUAUCCUGUCUGAAUAUGGGGGGACCAUCCUCCAAGGCUAAAUACUCCUGACUGACCGAUAGUGAACCAGUACCGUGAGGGAAAGGCGAAAAGAACCCCGGCGAGGGGAGUGAAAAAGAACCUGAAACCGUGUACGUACAAGCAGUGGGAGCCCCACCACCAAAGCAUUUGCUGUACCGCGUUGACGGAGCGAAGCGACGUCAAACCGAUAAAACAGCAGUGUAAAGUGAGCCGCAGGGCGCUUUGCGCGACAGCGCAAAGGCAGGCGGUUUCGCGUAGCGAAAGCGAAUGCUUUGGGGUGGGGUGACUGCGUACCUUUUGUAUAAUGGGUCAGCGACUUAUAUUCUGUAGCAAGGUUAACCGAAUAGGGGAGCCGGAGGGAAACCGAGUCUUAAUUGGGCGUUAAGUUGCAGGGUAUAGACCCGAAACCCGGUGAUCUAGCCAUGGGCAGGUUGAAGGUUGGGUAACACUAACUGGAGGACCGAACCGACUAAUGUUGAAAAAUUAGCGGAUGACCUGUGGCUGGGGGUGAAAGGCCAAUCAAACCGGGAGAUAGCUGGUUCUCCCCGAAAGCUAUUUAGGUAGCGCCUCGUGAAUUCAUCUCCGGGGGUAGAGCACUGUUUCGGCUAGGGGGCCAUCCCGGCUUACCAACCCGAUGCAAACUGCGAAUACCGGAGAAUGUUAUCACGGGAGACACACGGCGGGUGCUAACGUCCGUCGUGAAGAGGGAAACAACCCAGACCGCCAGCUAAGGUCCCAAAGUCAUGGUUAAGUGGGAAACGAUGUGGGAAGGCCCAGACAGCCAGGAUGUUGGCUUAGAAGCAGCCAUCAUUUAAAGAAAGCGUAAUAGCUCACUGGUCGAGUCGGCCUGCGCGGAAGAUGUAACGGGGCUAAACCAUGCACCGAAGCUGCGGCAGCGACACUGUGUGUUGUUGGGUAGGGGAGCGUUCUGUAAGCCUGUGAAGGUGUGUCGUGAGGCAUGCUGGAGGUAUCAGAAGUGCGAAUGCUGACAUAAGUAACGAUAAAGCGGGUGAAAAGCCCGCUCGCCGGAAGACCAAGGGUUCCUGUCCAACGUUAAUCGGGGCAGGGUGAGUCGACCCCUAAGGCGAGGCCGAAAGGCGUAGUCGAUGGGAAACGGGUUAAUAUUCCCGUACUUGGUGUUACUGCGAAGGGGGGACGGAGAAGGCUAUGUUGGCCGGGCGACGGUUGUCCCGGUUUAAGCGUGUAGGUGUGUGUUCCAGGUAAAUCCGGUUCACUUUAACACUGAGGCGUGACGACGAGGCACUACGGUGCUGAAGCAACAAAUGCCCUGCUUCCAGGAAAAGCCUCUAAGCAUCAGGUAACAUCAAAUCGUACCCCAAACCGACACAGGUGGUCAGGUAGAGAAUACCAAGGCGCUUGAGAGAACUCGGGUGAAGGAACUAGGCAAAAUGGUGCCGUAACUUCGGGAGAAGGCACGCUGACACGUAGGUGAAGUGAUUUACUCAUGGAGCUGAAGUCAGUCGAAGAUACCAGCUGGCUGCAACUGUUUAUUAAAAACACAGCACUGUGCAAACACGAAAGUGGACGUAUACGGUGUGACGCCUGCCCGGUGCCGGAAGGUUAAUUGAUGGGGUCAGCGCAAGCGAAGCUCCUGAUCGAAGCCCCGGUAAACGGCGGCCGUAACUAUAACGGUCCUAAGGUAGCGAAAUUCCUUGUCGGGUAAGUUCCGACCUGCACGAAUGGCGUAAUGAUGGCCAGGCUGUCUCCACCCGAGACUCAGUGAAAUUGAACUCGCUGUGAAGAUGCAGUGUACCCGCGGCAAGACGGAAAGACCCCGUGAACCUUUACUAUAGCUUGACACUGAACAUUGAGCCUUGAUGUGUAGGAUAGGUGGGAGGCUUUGAAGUGUGGACGCCAGUCUGCAUGGAGCCGACCUUGAAAUACCACCCUUUAAUGUUUGAUGUUCUAACGUGGACCCGUUACCCGGGUUGCGGACAGUGUCUGGUGGGUAGUUUGACUGGGGCGGUCUCCUCCUAAAGAGUAACGGAGGAGCACGAAGGUUGGCUAAUCCUGG